GCAGCCUGCAACUCGGCUGCAUGAAGCUGGAAUCGCUAGUAAUCGCGGAUCAGAAUGCCGCGGUGAAUACGUUCCCGGGUCUUGUACACACCGCCCGUCACACCAUGGGAGUCGGGAAUGCCCGAAGUCAGUGACCCAACCGAAAGGGGGGNCUGCCGAAGGCAGGCCUGGUAACUGGGGUGAAGUCGUAACAAGGUACC
rnacentral:rRNA from 1 species